GCCCUCGUGGUGAAACGGAUAUCACACGACGCUUCGGACGUCGCGUUUCGGGUUCAAAUCCUGACGAGGGCG
rnacentral:tRNA from 2 species